rfam:Oryza sativa Japonica Group DNA, chromosome 11, cultivar: Nipponbare, complete sequence.
AAUAAGUAGUUUUGCACUAUUCAUGUCUAACCUUUGACCGUUCGUCUUAUUUGAAAUUUUUUUAUAAUUAAUAUUUUUAUUAUUAUUAGAUAAUAAAACAUGAAUAGUAUUUUAUAUGGGACUAAUUGUUUUUAAUUUUUUUAUAAAUUUUUUAAAUAAGACGUACGGUUAAACGUUAGACACGGAUAUCCACGGUUGUACUUAUU